CUCCAUCAUUGCUAAGAGUAACCCAAACAGGGUGUCCAGUUGGACUAUUUGAAUUAUGAAGUGACAUCAGAGCCAGCAAAACGUCCUAUCCAGGGCAAGGAAACACCUGGAAGAUCAUUAUUUCUUCAUUGCAUCCAAGUUGCCUUGGCUGGGGGGUGCCCCCUUGAAGUAGUCAGGAACAGGAGAUAGAAGAUGUCCUUCGCCGCUUGGAAAGCCUCUGGGAUUGAAAGGACUGUCAGACCGCUGGCACCGCGGCAGCUUCCAGGGCUCGGCAGAAGGUUCCGCACUGGACUCAACAUCUUAGGCAGAGUCAACGGUGCCAUCUCUGGCUCAGGGAGGAAGAGUGGCCCAACACAGGUCUCACUGUAAUGGCCUCUCCCCAGUUACCCUUCCUCUGCGCCAAUGAGUGCCCUCUCUCAGUGCACGGCUUCCUGUGCUUCUUCCUCAGCACUGGAGAUGGAGAAGGUGCCAGGAAGAGCAUGGUGCCAGGGGAGCGCUUUGCACGGGUGUCAAAGUGCUUGGUGUCGAUUUAGAAUGGCUCGGCUCUGAUACAGGUCUGAGGGUGGCCUCCAUGAGGAUGCCCUUCAGCCAAAUGCUCCUGACUUUUUAGUGCGAGGUCUGAAGUCUCUGCAGAUCUGGCAGUUGUCCUUUACUUGGGUUUCCCCCAGACACUUUAAGCAGCUGGCUUGCAGGUCACU